rnacentral:misc_RNA from 1 species
UCCCAGUUAACCUGGGCAGUCUCAUUAGAGUCCCCACCUUUCGUGUUGGCAACUAAUGAUAAGGGUUGCGCUCGUUGCGGGACUUAACCCAACACCUCACGGCACGAGCUGACGACAGCCAUGCAGCACCUAUACAGAGACCCUUUCGGGAAAUACUAUCUCUAGUAUCGUCCUCUGCACUUCUAACCUGGGUAAGGUUCUUCGCGUUGCAUCGAAUUAAACCACAUGCUCCACUGCUUGUGCGGGCCCCCGUCAAUUCUUUUGAGUUUCACCCUUGCGAGCGUACUCCCCAGGCGGUAUACUUAUCGCGUUAGCUUCGACACAGUCAGGGUUGAGCCCAACUACAUCAAGUAUACAUCGUUUACGGCAAGGACUAC